GCCCCUGUAGUUCAAUGGAUAGAACUGUCGUUUCCUAAACAACAAAUUCGAGUUCGAUUCUCGGCGGGGGUA
rnacentral:tRNA from 1 species